rnacentral:rRNA from 1 species
UACGUAGGGGGGCGAGCGUUUGUCCCGGAUUUAUUGGGCGUAAAAGAGCGUGUAGGCGGCCAGGUAGGUCCGUUGUGAAAACUCGAGGCUCAACCUCGAGACGUCGAUGGAAACCAUCUGGCUAGAGUCCGGAAGAGGAGAGUGGAAUUCCUGGUGUAGCGGUGAAAUGCGCAGAUAUCAGGAAGAACACCUAUGGCGAAGGCAGCUCUCUGGGACGGUACUGACGCUGAGACGCGAAAGCGUGGGGAGCGAACAGG